rnacentral:lncRNA from 1 species
UUUUUUUUUUUUUUUUUUUUGGCUUAUGGUGCCUUCACUUUUGUCAUAUUCAAAAACUCACUGCCGUGACCAAUGUUGAGGCUCUUCUUCCCUAUUUUCUCUUAAGGGUUUUGUGUCAUCGGGUCACAUGCUGAAGUCUUUAAUCCAUUUUGAGUUACUUUUUGAGUUGUGUAAGAUAGGAUAUUUCUCCAUUUCCUUAUUCAGUUUUCCAAUACCAUAUGUUGAAAGGACUAUCCUUUCCUUGAUGAGUGUUUGUGGCUCCCUUGGCAAAUGUUACUUGACAGUAGACCUGUGAAAUUACUUCUGGGAUCUCUGCUCUUUUACUCUGGUCCUGUGUCUGUUUUAAUGCCAGUACCACAUGGUACACAGUGAAUUACUAUUGCUUUUUAGUAAUUAACACAGGAAGUUUUGUUCUUUCUCAUGAUGGCUUUUGCUAUGUGAAGUCUUUUGUGGUUCCAAGCAUAUUUUAAGAAUGAUUUUUUUAUUUCUGAGAAAGACGCCCUUGAAGUUUUGACCAGGAUAGCAUUGAAUCUCCAUAGCUGACUUGUGUGGUUUGGACACUUGAACAAUAUGUAUUUUUCCAGUCCACGAAUAGGAGCUAUCUUUUCAGAUCUUAUGUCUUCUUCAGUUUCUUUCAUCCACGUCUUGUUGUUUUUAUUGUAGAGAGCUUUCACCCUCUUAGUGACGUGUAUUCCUAAGUAUCUUAUCAACCAAGGAGGUGGUUUCAGUUGAACCCUCAUCCCAGCCUGGUCCCACGGGGCGCUGAAGUCUCAAUGGCACCACGGUUGUCCUGCCUUAAAGCCAGAGGUGUGGGAGUUCCCGUCGUGGCACAGUGGAAACAAAUCUGACAAGGAACCAUGAGGUUGCAGUUCGAUCCCUGGCCUCAUUCAGUGGGUUAAAGAUCCGGCAUUGCCCUGAGCUGUGUGUAGGUCACAGACGCUGCUCAGAUCCUGCAUUGCUGUGGCCCUGGUGCAGGCCGGUGGCUACAGCUCCAAUUGGACCCCUAGCCUGGGAACCUCCAUAUGCCGCAGGAGUGGCCCUAGAAAUGGCAAAAAGACAAAAAAAAUUAAAAUAAAAAUUAAAAAAAUUCUAGUGCCACCUCUCUAUGUUUUGUAAUCGGUUAUUUUUCCUGAUCCCUGUCUGUAUGUCCAGUAAUGCUUCUUUCCUGCACCCAUUUCCCAGAACACAGGGACAGGCUUGUGGUGCAAUCAAAGACUCAAGGAGAGGGAUCCGUGUAUGUCUCAGAACAAAAUACAAUCUCCUUGCAGAGCUACGUGGAUUCGAAGGAGACCUGAGGAUUGUGAGAAGGGAAACGCUGGCUUCAAGGGGCUGUUUUCCAGGAGUUCCCAUUGUGGCGCAGUGGUUAACGAAUCCAACUAGGAUCCAUGAGGAUAUGGGUUCGAUCCCUGGCCUUGCUGAGUGGGUUAAGGAUCUGGCGUUGCCGUGAGCUGUGGUGUAGGUUGCAGACUUGGCUCAGAUCCCGAGUUGCUGUGGCUCUGGUGUAGACCGGUGGCAACAGCUCUGAUUAGACCCCUAGCCUGGGAACCUCCAUGUGCCGCCGGUGCGGCCCUAGAAAUGCAAAAAAAAAAAAAAAAAAAAAAAAG